rnacentral:rRNA from 1 species
UACGGGGGAUCCAAGCGUUAUCCGGAAUUACUGGGCGUAAAGAGUUGCGUAGGUGGCGUCGUAAGUCGGUAGUGAAAGCGUGUGGCUCAACCACAUACACAUUAUCGAAACUGCGAAGCUAGAGGACGAGAGAGGUACCUGGAAUUCCUAGUGUAGGAGUGAAAUCCGUAGAUAUUAGGAGGAACACCGAUGGCGUAGGCAGGGUACUGGCUCGUUCCUGACACUGAGGCACGAAAGCGUGGGGAGCAAACGGG